GUUUCAUCUUCUUCUCCAAGCUAAAGCCGAUCCUCUAAUCUUCUCCUUCCUUCUCAUCUUCAAGAAAUCAAAUCCCUCUCAUCUCCUUCAAGCCUUGUGACUCCAUGGCAAGGAAAAAAUAUAUAUUUUUUCUUCAUCCUCAUCAAGCCGUGCGAGAACUCCCUCCAUACCCAUUUUUUAUUUUUGAUUCUAAGCUUGGAACCAAAACUUGAUUUCAUCUUCCAAAGGGUGAAAUCUUGAAGUUUUGGGGUUUAAAAUAAUGAUAUCGUGUUGCCCUUCAUCCACACGGCUAUACCUCUAUUUGGUCUUCCACUUGUGUUUUGAAAGGGGCUAAGAGCUUAAGGUAUUGAUGAAAAGGCUGGGGAACAAGGCACUACUGCAGGGAGGGAGGUAGACGCUUAGUGUCUUUCCUAACUAGAACAAUUAUGUUGAUGGAUGAUGGGUUAUGGGUUAUGUUUAUGUAUAGACAUUUUAAGUUGGGACGAAGUCUCUUUCUAACUAGAACAGUUAUGUUUAUGGAUGAUGGGUUAUGUUUAUGUGUAGUCGUUUUAUGUUGGGACGAAGUCUCUUUCUAACUAGAACAGUUAUGUUUUUAUGAACAUACGAUGGACUUUGAGAGUAUCUUA